rnacentral:lncRNA from 1 species
AGCAUACACAUCAGCGAGUAAGGAGCAAUGGGGAUCAUUGUAAGUGGGACCACCAGGAUAUUCUUGGACUUUUAACUUCCUGCAUUGCAACAUUGGGUUAUGUAAAAGAGUACUGUCCAGUGGGAGUGGUAUUAGCAAGACAACAGAACAGGAAGUCUUGAACCCUCCUUUACUCUGACUAACUCAUGUUUUCAACAGUAAUUCAUGGACAUUUUCUCUUUGUGAGAAAUUCAGAAACUCAUUAAGAAGUUACUGCACUCCUGCAGAAGAUGAAAUAAGUCACACUGAAGCUAGUAGGACAAUGUGAAAUACCUUUUCCCAGCUUCUCUCUGGGCAUAAAAAGAGGUACACCAUGUAUCCUACAUCCCAACAUUUUCAGAGGCUAACAGAGGACUGAAUUUUUCCAUCCUAUUUUGAAGAGAAUACAGAAUAUGGAACAUGGUAUACUCUAGCCACCUGGAACUGGUGAAAACAGAAGCAAUGGUUCAGGCUGAGGGUCAACACCCCCACACCCGCUGGCUCAGCACAGAAAUAGCAGUGGUAAAACCCUAACUCCCAGAUUUUUCCUGAGAAGGAAAAGUGGUGGCGCACUAAAGGUCCAAUGUCCCAACUUUUCAGAGAGCUACCCAAAAGAUUAGCAUCUGUCUACUCUGUCUCAGAGCUCUGAUCAAACUGGGACACAGCAUUUUCGCCACCUAAGGCCUCCCUGUGAGAUCAGAGAUAGACAUUUGGCCUGGUGGUCCCCAUAGCCACUCCCUGGCUCAGCAACAAGCAAGUGGAUGAAAAGCCUCAACUCCCAGGUUCAUUUUGAAGCGAAGAAGGGAAAAGAGAUGCAUUGAGUGUUCAAUAUCCUAACUUUUCCAAGGGUUACCCAGAAGACUGGUUUCAGUCUAGCCUGUCACCAUAGUCAGUGACACUAGCUCAGGAUAGCACAGACAGAGGAAAAAUCUAAGAUCCCAACUUCUAUCUAGAAAAUGAAUGAAGUACAUUGUGCACCUUACAACCCAACUUGAAGGAGGGGUUGCCUGAUAAAUUGGCUCUGUGAGUACUGACAGGUUUCAUCAUACUCUAGACACCACAGACUACUAAAAAUAAAAAAAAAAGUGGAUUGGAACAGCAUGAAUAUUUGAGGGGCCUCCAGAAUCUCUGGCCCAGGCUGAUUUGUGAGGGUCUUGUUCAGUACGGGGCUAGUCUGCAAAGACUAGGAGAAGCGGCUGUUGUCUCUAAUAUGCAGAUAUGAACACAGAGAAUCAGGAAAAAUAGAGAAGGAGAAAAAUACCUUUCAAACAAAGCAACAAGAUAAAUCUCCAUAAACUGACUAAUAAAAUGGAGGUGUGUUAUUUACCUGACAGAAAAUUCAAAUAACUGUCAUAAAGAUGCUCACCAAGGUCAAAAGAACAAUGCGUGAACAAAAUGAGAAUUUCAACAAAAAGAAGUUUUGUAAAGUACCAGACAGAAUUAAUGGAGCUGAAGAAUACAAUAACUGAGAUAAAAAAUUUAUUAGAGGCAUUAAACAGUUGACUAGAUCCAACAGAGGAAAGGAUCAAGAAACUCAAAGACAAGUCAUUGAAAAUUAAUCAGCCAGAGGAACAAAAAGAAAAAAGGAAUGUAAAAGAGUAAAGAAAACCUAAGGAACUAAUGGAACGCCAUCAAGCUUUUAAAUAUAAACAUUACGGAAGUCCCAGAAUAAAAACAGAUAAACAAAAGACUAAAAGAGUUAUUUAAAUAAAUAAUAAUAACUGAGAAUUUCCCAAAUGUGGGAAAGAAAAUAGACAUCCUGAUUCAAGAAGCCCAAAGUUCCUCAAAAAUAUUUCUUAUAAUGGAAAGAUAUAAAUUUUCUCAGAGAAAUAAAAGCUGAGGGAAUACAUCUCCACUAGAUCACACUGUAAAAAUGCUAAAGAGAGUUGUUAAAGGUAAAAAAAGGAAGCUAAGCAGCACUACAAUAGCUUAAGAAAGACUAAAAUAACAUAUAGACAUAUAUAGAACCCUGUAUCACUGUCAAAGUGGUUAGUAAAUCAUUCGAAUUCUUAUAUAAAAUUUAAAAGACAAAUGUAUUAAAAAUCUAUAAUAACAAUGUUAAUGAGUACACAAUACAAAUAGACAUAAAUUGUGACAUCAAUAACAUAAUAUGUGUAUGUGGCUGGGAAGAAGCAAAAGCACACUUUUUUAGUAUGUUAUUGAACUUAUCAGCUUAAAAUAGAUGGUUAUAUAUUACAUAAGGCCCAUGUUAAACAUGAAUAAAACUACAAAUGUCACACACACACACACAAACACAAAGAGAAAGGUAUCAAAGCAUAACAAUAUAAAAUAUCUAUGACACACAAAGGAAAACAAGAGAAAAAAAUGACAAAAGCCGCUAAGACAAAGAGAAAAAAACACAAUGGCAAUAGUGAAUCAUUCCCUAUUAAUAUUUACUUCAAAUGUAAACACAUUAAAAUUCCUAAUCAAAGGACGUGGAGUGGUUAAACAAAAGCAAGAUUCAGCUGUUUGCUGUAUUAAGAUAUUCACUUUAGAUUUAAAGACACAUAUAACCUGUAAGUGAAGGGAUGGAAAAAGUUAUUCCAUGCAAAAGUGAGCAAGAGUAGGUAUAUUUAUAUUAGACAAAAUAAACUUUUAGCAACAACCUGUUACAAAAGAUAAAGAAGGACAUUAAAAUAAUCAAUAAAUAAUCAAUGGGAACAUAUAAAAAUUAUAUGCAUCCAACAUCAGAAAAUUUAAGUAUAUAAAGCAAAUAUUGACAGAAUUGAAGGGAGAGAAAGCAAAACAACAGUAGGUUAUUCAACUCUCCGCUUUAACAAAUGGACAGGUCAGUCAUACAGAAAAUCAAUAAACAGUGGAUUUGAGCAAUGCUAAGACUAUAUGAACCAGAGAUAUUUAAAGAACAUGCAACACAACAGCAGCAGAAUAUAUAUUCUUCUCAAGUAGGCUCAGAACAUUCUCUGGGAUAGACCAGAUGUUAGAUCAAAACACAAGUUUUAAAAAUUUUAUGAAGAUUGAAGUCAUGCCGAGUACCUUAUUCAACCACAGUAUAAUGAAACCAGAAACAAGAGAAGAAAAACUUCUGAAGGAUACACAAAAAUGUGAAAAUUAAACAAAAUAGUUUUGAAAAAUUACUAAGUCAAAGAAGGAAUCACAAAGAAAAUAAGAAAAUAUAUUUAAACAAAUGAAAAUAAAAAUAUAACAUAGCAAAACUUAUUGGAUACAUCAAAAGUAGUACUACAAGAGAAGCUUGUAAUAACAGAUGCCUAUACUAAAAGAAAAAGAUCUCAAAUAAACAACCUAACAUUACACCUCAAGGAACUAGAAAAAGAAGAACAAACCAAGACCAAUGUUUGAGGAAGAAAGGAAAUAACAAAGAUUAGAAGAGAAGUAAAUGAAGCAGAGAAUAGAAAAACAAUAGAAAACAAAACCAAGAGUUGGUAAUUUGAGAUCAACGAAAUUGUCAAACCUUUAGCUAGACUAAGAAAAAAUACUAAAAUAAAUAUAAUCAUAAAUGAAAGAUGAGACAUUACAACUGUUAUGAGAAAAAUAAAGGUUCAUAAAAGCUUACUGUAAACAAUUCUAUACCAACAAACUGUAUAACCUAGAAAAAGUGAAGUGGCAGUAUACAAAAUCAACAUACAAUAAUUAGUUGCAUUUGUAUACACAAACAACAUACUAUCAAAAAAAGAAUUUAACAAAAUACUUCCAUUUACAAUACUAUCAAAAAGAAUAAAGUACUUAGGAAUAUCUUAAGUAAGGAAGAAAAAGACUUGUACAUGAAAACUACCAAAUAUUGAAGAAAGAAAUUUAAAAAGACACAGAAAAAUAUAUAACUGGUAUUCAUUUAUUAGAAGACUUAGCAUUGUUGAAAUGUUCAAACCAUGCAAAGUAAUCUACAGAUUCAAUGUUAUUCCUAUCAAAAUCCAAAUUCCCAGUGGCAUUUUUUCCAUAAGUAUAAAAAGACAAUUCUAAAAUUUAUAUGUAACACAAAAGAGUCCCCAAAGCCAAUACAAUUAUAAUAAACAAAAACAAGAAUGGAAGUAUUAUGGUUCCUAAUUUUAAAUUAUUUUACAAAGCUAUAGUAAUCAAAAUAGUUGAGUAUUAGCAUAGAUACGGACAUAUGAACCAAUGGAACAGAAUAGAGAGCCCAGAAGUAAAUCCAUACACACACGGUUCAUUGAUCUUCAGUAAGGUUCUACAAACACACAAUCAGGAAAUGGUAGUCUUUUCAACAAAUGGUGUUGAGAACACUAGAUAUUUACAUGCACAAUAAUGAAUUAGGACUCGUAUACUAUACCAUAUAAAAAAUCAACUCAAAAUAGAUGAAAAGCUUAAACGUUAAAACCUCAAACUGUCCAACUUAUAGAAGAAAAUAUGGAAAAACAUAUUUAUGAUAUUUUUCUUAGCAUUGAAUUCAUGAAUAUGAAACCAAAGCAUAGGCUACAAAAAUAAAAAUAGACAAGUGGGAAUAAAUAGGACUAAACAGCUUCUGCACAGCCAAGGAAACAAUCAACAAACCAAAAAGGCAAGCUACAGAAUGGGAGAAAAUAUUUGCAAACAUUAUAUUAGAUAGAGGUUAAUUGACAAAGUAUUUAAGAAACCCCUAUGACUCAAUAGCAAGAAAAUCCCAAACAAGCAAAACACACACACACACACACACAAAACUCCUAAAACCCAAAGUUAAAAAUGGGCCAAAAAUUUGAAUAAACAUUUCUCCAAAGAUGGACAAAUGGUCAAUAAGAAUAUGAAAAUACAGGCCACAUAGUUAAUCAUAUCCAAAUGCAAACCAAAACUACAAUGAGACAUCACCUCACAGUGGUUAGUAUGAGUAUUAUAAAAACAAAACAAAACAAAAACAAAGAAUACAAAACACAACAAAAACAAGAAGAAACAACAUAGUAAAGAUGUAAAAAAAUUGAAACUCUUGUAUGUGGGUGAUAGGAAUGUAAAAGUGUUCAGCCACUUAAAAAACAGUAUGGAGGUUCUUCAAAAAAUUAAAAAUAGAAUGACCAUAUGAUCCAGCAAAUACACUUCUCAAUAUUUAUCCUAAAGUAUUGAAAUAAGUAUCUCAAAGAAAUAUUAGCAACCCAAAAUUCAUUACAGCAAAGCUCACAAUUGCCAAAACGGAGAACAGACCAUGUGUCCAUUAACUGAUGAACAGACAAGAGAAAUGGUGUAUUCAUACAAUGGCAUAUUAUUCCACCUUUUAAAAAAGGAAAUUUUGUCAUUUACUAUGACAUUGAUGAACCUUGAAGAUUAUUCUAAGCCAAACAAGCCAGUCACUCAGAAGAGCAAAUACUGCAUGAUUCCACUUAGAUGAAGUAUCUAUAAUAGUCAAAGUCAUAGAAUCAGAGAUUAAAAUUGUUAUCAGGAGCUGUGGGAGAAGAGCAUGGCAAUGGAAAAUUACUAAUCAAAGGCAUAAAGUUUUAAUUAGGGAAGAUUAGUAAGUUCUAGAGAUCUGCUGUGCAAUACUUUUCUAAGGUAAACAGUAUUUUAUUGUACACUUAAAAAUUUGCUAAUAGGGCUGGGCGCAGGGGUUCACUCCUGUAAUCCUAACACUUUGGGAGGCUGAAGUGGGCGGAUCACCUGAGGUCACGAGUUUGAGACCAGCCUGGUGAAACCCUGUCUCUACUAAAAAUACAAAAAUUAGCUGGGUGUGGUGGCACACACCUGUAGUCCCAGCUAGUUAAGAGGCUGAGGCAGGAGAAUCACUUGAACCUGGGAGGCAAAGGUUGUAAUGAGCUGAGAUGGUGCCACUGGCUCCAGCCUGGGCAACAGAGCGAGACUCCAUCUCAAAAAAAAAAAGAAAAAAAAUGUGCUAAUAGGUUAGAUUUCAUGUUAAGUCUUCUUAGCACAACAAAUAAAAUAAGGUAUACUUUCCAAAGGUCUAAGGAAUUUUGUAGAAAACGUAUUGUUAUUUACAGUUAAUUUAAUCAAUUUUGAGCAGAUAACAAACUGUAAGUUGACAAUUUCUAAAGUUGGUUGAAACAUUUUCAGGAAUUCAUGAAAAGGAUGUGUAUUAGCUAUUUUUCUCUAAAUGUCAACUAGGUCAAGUUGACAUCUAAUUUGACAUCUAAUUCUUCUAUAUUCUGAAAGUAUUUUUGUCUAUUUCUAUAAUUUGCUGAGGGAGUUUUUUUUUUAUUUCUACCAUUAAUCUGUCAGAUUUUGAUGCUCUGAUUUUAAGUGCAUACAUAUUUGUGAUUCUUAUGUCUUCUUGAUUAAUAAGUACUAUUAUUGACAUGUGAUAUUGGUGGCAGCAGAGGGCUACCUGGUGCGGCUGCUGUCAACACACCAGCUGCUGAAGGGCGCCAGGAGGAGGCAGACAGCCCAUCCCCCGCAUCCCGCCACCCUGACGCCAGGGCGAUGGUCCGUGGCAGAAUCUCCCACCGCUGGGGGAGCGGCUCAGAGGGGCAGCAGCCAGGUUGGUGGGGCAGGGAGUGUCUUCAGUACAGAGCUUAGGCCGCACUGUUGGGGCCUGGGGUAGGAAGUGGGAGUGGUGCCGGCUUCAGGGACCCGGCCGCUGCCCCGCUGCCCCGACCAAGGGUGCCAGAUUCCUGGGCUUCAGGAGGAGUCUCUGUGCAGGGCCGCCUGGGGCCGUGUCCCCAGGGUCUGUCUGGCGUCAGGGUGACUGCUGAGCCUUCUACUCCCGAUGGCUCGGCCCGGGGAGUGAUCCACUCUGCCCCGGGUCACCGCUGAGUGCCAGGGAAACGGGCUGCUCAUGGCAAUAUUGCCCCUGCCCUGGACGCCAGCCGGGGCCCAGCAAGGAUCAGGAGCCCCUGCCCCAGGCUGCGAGGGGGCGCAGCUGAGGCUGCAUGCUCCAGGGAGCAAACAGGCAGGAGUGCUGCCCUUCUGGGUGCCACUGCAGCCACCGAAACCACGGCUGCAAAACUGUGCCUCCUUCUCUACAGAGCAGUCAGGAACUCCCCCACCCCACCAUACAGCUGCAGCUGCCCAAACCUGCAGCUGCAGCCUCAGGCAUUCCUGCAGUCUUGGGGGCCCGGGAAGGCCCUCCCUGCCCUUGCAGACUAGGAAUUGCCUGCUCCCACUGCCUGGCUUCUCCCUGCUGUUCGCUCCUGCUCUGAUAUAGGAGCAAAGUUGGGGCCAAGCCUAGGUGCCAUGAAUGGCAGCAGGAGGCAAAGUUUCCUGGGUGGAAGAGAGCAGGUCCCCAGUAAGGCCCCCGCUUCAGGCCAGGAAGGACCUGAAGGCUUGGGGCCAGGCUGCCAGGCCCGUGGACCAGAGGAGGGACUUGUGGUGCCGUUUUCAGGCCUGCCCAUUGCUGCCCAUAGACCAACUGGCACGCACUUCCUGCCCUCUGAUGUCCAUAAAAAUCCCCAGGCUCAGCCAGAGCAGGGCAGAGGACAGAGAGACGAUGGAAUGACCAGCUGCCAAAAGGAGCUACCUUUUCUGCUGAGACUUGGGAAGACAACCGGACGACCAGCUGCAGAAAGGGUCCACCAACCACAGGGCCUCUCUGUUGACAGCUGAACACUCCAGAAGACAACCUGCCUACGGAGGAGGAGCUACCAACUGCAGGUCUCCUCUGAGCUAUUGCAAAGCUUAAUAAAGCUCCCCUUCGUCUUGCUCACCCUCCACAUCUCUGUAUACCUCAUUCCUGCUGGACGCAGGACAAGAACUUGGGCAAAGGCGCCACCAGCCACAGAGGUUUCCCACCAGAAAAAGCAACACCCCCCAAAUCCAGUAACAUAUAUACCUCUUGUAAAACUAUAAAUCUUUAAGUCUAAUUGUCUAUUAAGAUUAUAGCUCUUCUAGCUUUCUUAUGCUUAUUUUCUGCAUGGGUUUGAUAUAUUUUAUUACUUCACUUUCUAUGCUUACUUUUAUCAAAUUCAUGGAGGCAUAAUUUACUGAAUCAAUUUAUAGUACAAAAUUCCAACAGUUUUGACAUAUAUACUCAGCCACAAGACCACUACUACAAUCAAGAUAUAAAACAUUUCCAUCAUUCCAAAAAGGUUUUACUGGCCACUUUGCAAUCCAUCCAUCUCUCCUGUAUUCCCAGCUCCAGGCAACCUCUGAUUUGCUGAGGGUCACUGUAAGUUUGUUUGUAGUUUCUAGACUUGUAUGUAAAUAGAAACAUAUGACAUUUGUUUCCGGCUUCCUUUACUUAGCGUAUGGUUUCAAAAUGUACCCAUGUGUCAAUAAUGAUUUAUUUCCAUUAAUGAGCAAGCUCGGUGAAUACAUUUUGUCUGUUCACCUAGUGAUGGACACUUAUAUUGCAGCCAGUUUUUGAUGGUUGAGAAUAAAGCUUCUGUUGAGAUUUGUGUAUAAAUCAUAAUAUUAAAUAUGUUCAUGUCCCUUGAGUAAAUACAAAUAAAUCAAAUGUCUGGUUUAUAGGAACAAUGUUGUUUAAAUAUGUUUGAAACUACUAAACAGUUUUCCAAAGUAGUUUUAUGAUUCUACAUCCUCAGCAGUAGGAUAUGUAAAUUUAUUUUCCUCUACACCUUCAUAAAUUUUAGAACUAAGUUUUUCUGUAAUUUUAUGUUACUGUUAUUUUA